UUGAACGCUGGCGGCAGGCCUAACACAUGCAAGUCGAACGGUAACAGGAAGCAGCUUGCUGCUUUGCUGACGAGUGGCGGACGGGUGAGUAAUGUCUGGGAAACUGCCCGAUGGAGGGGGAUAACUACUGGAAACGGUAGCUAAUACCGCAUAACGUCGCAAGACCAAAGAGGGGGACCUUAGGGCCUCUUGCCAUCGGAUGUGCCCAGAUGGGAUUAGCUAGUAGGUGGGGUAAUGGCUCACCUAGGCGACGAUCCCUAGCUGGUCUGAGAGGAUGACCAGCCACACUGGAACUGAGACACGGUCCAGACUCCUACGGGAGGCAGCAGUGGGGAAUAUUGCACAAUGGGCGCAAGCCUGAUGCAGCCAUGCCGCGUGUAUGAAGAAGGCCUUCGGGUUGUAAAGUACUUUCAGCGGGGAGGAAGGGAGUAAAGUUAAUACCUUUGCUCAUUGACGUUACCCGCAGAAGAAGCACCGGCUAACUCCGUGCCAGCAGCCGCGGUAAUACGGAGGGUGCAAGCGUUAAUCGGAAUUACUGGGCGUAAAGCGCACGCAGGCGGUUUGUUAAGUCAGAUGUGAAAUCCCCGGGCUCAACCUGGGAACUGCAUCUGAUACUGGCAAGCUUGAGUCUCGUAGAGGGGGGUAGAAUUCCAGGUGUAGCGGUGAAAUGCGUAGAGAUCUGGAGGAAUACCGGUGGCGAAGGCGGCCCCCUGGACGAAGACUGACGCUCAGGUGCGAAAGCGUGGGGAGCAAACAGGAUUAGAUACCCUGGUAGUCCACGCCGUAAACGAUGUCGACUUGGAGGUUGUGCCCUUGAGGCGUGGCUUCCGGAGCUAACGCGUUAAGUCGACCGCCUGGGGAGUACGGCCGCAAGGUUAAAACUCAAAUGAAUUGACGGGGGCCCGCACAAGCGGUGGAGCAUGUGGUUUAAUUCGAUGCAACGCGAAGAACCUUACCUGGUCUUGACAUCCACGGAAGUUUUCAGAGAUGAGAAUGUGCCUUCGGGAACCGUGAGACAGGUGCUGCAUGGCUGUCGUCAGCUCGUGUUGUGAAAUGUUGGGUUAAGUCCCGCAACGAGCGCAACCCUUAUCCUUUGUUGCCAGCGGUCCGGCCGGGAACUCAAAGGAGACUGCCAGUGAUAAACUGGAGGAAGGUGGGGAUGACGUCAAGUCAUCAUGGCCCUUACGACCAGGGCUACACACGUGCUACAAUGGCGCAUACAAAGAGAAGCGACCUCGCGAGAGCAAGCGGACCUCAUAAAGUGCGUCGUAGUCCGGAUUGGAGUCUGCAACUCGACUCCAUGAAGUCGGAAUCGCUAGUAAUCGUAGAUCAGAAUGCUACGGUGAAUACGUUCCCGGGCCUUGUACACACCGCCCGUCACACCAUGGGAGUGGGUUGCAAAAGAAGUAGGUAGCUUAACCUUCGGGAGGGCGCUUACCACUUUGUGAUUCAUGACUGGGGUG
rnacentral:rRNA from 1 species